rnacentral:rRNA from 1 species
CCGGUAAACGGCGGCCGUAACUAUAACGGUCCUAAGGUAGCGAAAUUCCUUGUCGGGUAAGUUCCGACCUGCACGAAUGGCGUAAUGAUGGCCAGGCUGUCUCCACCCGAGACUCAGUGAAAUUGAACUCGCUGUGAAGAUGCAGUGUACCCGCGGCAAGACGGAAAGACCCCGUGAACCUUUACUAUAGCUUGACACUGAACAUUGAGCCUUGAUGUGUAGGAUAGGUGGGAGGCUUAGAAGUGUGGACGCCAGUCUGCAUGGAGCCGACCUUGAAAUACCACCCUUUAAUGUUUGAUGUUCUAACGUUGGCCCCUGAUCGGGGUUGCGGACAGUGUCUGGUGGGUAGUUUGACUGGGGCGGUCUCCUCCUAAAGAGUAACGGAGGAGCACGAAGGUUGGCUAAUCCUGGUCGGACAUCAGGAGGUUAGUGCAAUGGCAUAAGCCAGCUUGACUGCGAGCGUGACGGCGCGAGCAGGUGCGAAAGCAGGUCAUAGUGAUCCGGUGGUUCUGAAUGGAAGGGCCAUCGCUCAACGGAUAAAAGGUACUCCGGGGAUAACAGGCUGAUACCGCCCAAGAGUUCAUAUCGACGGCGGUGUUUGGCACCUCGAUGUCGGCUCAUCACAUCCUGGGGCUGAAGUAGGUCCCAAGGGUAUGGCUGUUCGCCAUUUAAAGUGGUACGCGAGCUGGGUUUAGAACGUCGUGAGACAGUUCGGUCCCUAUCUGCCGUGGGCGCUGGAGAACUGAGGGGGGCUGCUCCUAGUACGAGAGGACCGGAGUGGACGCAUCACUGGUGUUCGGGUUGUCAUGCCAAUG